GGACCAUGCGGAGGCGGCGGCCACCCGGCUGUCGGCCGAGCGGGGGACGCUGCUCCAGGCGGUCUGGUUCGAUGCCGGACCGGUCCACC
rnacentral:tRNA from 1 species